rnacentral:tRNA from 1 species
UUUUAAUGGAUGGGAAUCGAACCCACGACCUUCCGCUUACCGGGCAGAUGCCAUGACCACUAGGCUAUCCUGGA